rnacentral:rRNA from 1 species
GAUGAACGCUGGCGGCGUGCCUAAUACAUGCAAGUCGAGCGAACAGACGAGGAGCUUGCUCCUCUGACGUUAGCGGCGGACGGGUGAGUAACACGUGGAUAACCUACCUAUAAGACUGGGAUAACUUCGGGAAACCGGAGCUAAUACCGGAUAACAUGUUGAACCGCAUGGUUCAACAGUGAAAGACGGUCUUGCUGUCACUUAUAGAUGGAUCCGCGCCGCAUUAGCUAGUUGGUAAGGUAACGGCUUACCAAGGCAACGAUGCGUAGCCGACCUGAGAGGGUGAUCGGCCACACUGGAACUGAGACACGGCCCAGACUCCUACGGGAGGCAGCAGUAGGGAAUCUUCCGCAAUGGGCGAAAGCCUGACGGAGCAACGCCGCGUGAGUGAAGAAGGUCUUCGGAUCGUAAAACUCUGUUAUUAGGGAAGAACAAAUGUGUAAGUAACUAUGCACGUCUUGACGGUACCUAAUCAGAAAGCCACGGCUAACUACGUG